rnacentral:lncRNA from 1 species
GGGAGUGGUUACGGGCGAUUUCGCCGGCCAGAGAAUGGGCGGUGUAGAGAGUGAGAGGGCAGGGUUGUGAGGUGAAAGAGAGAGAGAACAUAUAUAUAUAGAGAGAGAGAGAGAGAGAAGAAGAAGAAGAGAGAGUUUUCUUUUUUUUUUUUUUAAUUUCAGAUUUUGUGUUAUUCUUUUGGUUUUUUAUUAAAUCAGAUUUUCUUAAGUGAGAAAAUUAAAAUUGUCCACUUGUUAAGUUUAAAAUUAAAAUUGCCCACUUCUUAUAAAAACUUGAAUCUAUGCCCAAAAAUACCUAAAUUACCCUUCAUGUCUCAAUCAGUG